rnacentral:lncRNA from 1 species
ACACACUGUCAAGCACACACACUAAGCGCGUUAAACUCUCUAUAAAGGCAUUUGCUUGGUAUUGGGUUUCAAUAUCUAGUUUUGUACCCAGCUCUCUUGAGGGUUGUGGAGUGUAGCUAGUAUUGAACAUGGAGAUCAAUUAUGCUCUGGCAUUGCUCUUAGUCCUCAUUCUCAACUUGGGUAGUUUGCUCACUUCUCUUGCUAACUCCUAUUGCCCACCACCAACAUACCCUCCAGUUCCUCACUUGCCACCCAAACACCCUCCCCAUGUAACUCCACCCUUCCACCCUAAACCACCAAAGAAGCCACCACCAUAUGUCAAACCACCUCAUGCAAAGCCUCCUCCUCAUGUACCAAUCAAACCCCCUCAUGUUAAACCACCCAUUGUAAAACCACCUCCUUAUCCGAAACCUCCAGUUGCCAAACCACCUCCCCAUCCCAAACCUCCUGUUGUCAAACCACCUCCCCAUCCCAAACCUCCUGUUGUCAAACCACCUCCCCAUCCCAAACCUCCUGUUGUCAAACCACCUCCCUAUCCCAAACCUCCUGUUGUCAAACCACCUCACCUAUCCCAAACCUCCUGUUGUCAAACCACCCUCCCUAUCCCAAACCUCCUGUUGUCAAACCACCUCCCUAUCCCAAACCUCCUGUUGUCAAACCACCUCACCAUCCCAAGCCUCCUGUUGUCAAACCACCUCCCCAUCCCAAACCUCCUGUUGUCAAGCCUCCAGUUGUCAAACCACCUCCCCAUCCCAAACCACCAGUUGUACUGCCUCCACCAUAUACCCCGAAGCCCCGGUUGUACUGCCUUCCACCAUAUACCCCGAAGCCCCCGGUUGUGCUGCCUCCACCAUAUACCCCGAAGCCCCCGGUUGUG